rnacentral:rRNA from 1 species
UACGUAGGGGGCUAGCGUUGUCCGGAAUCAUUGGGCGUAAAGCGCGUGUAGGCGGUCCGGUAAGUCCGCUGUGAAAGUCGGGGGCUCAACCCGUCGGAUGCCGGUGGAGUACUGUCGGGCUUGAGUACGGAAGAGGCGAGUGGAAUUCCUGGUGGUAGCGGUGAAAUGCGCAGAGUAUCAAGGAGGAACACCAGUGGCGAAGGCAGCUCCGCUGGGACGGUACUGACGCUGAGUG